rnacentral:rRNA from 1 species
GAUUGAACGCUGGCGGCAGGCCUAACACAUGCAAGUCGAGCGGUAGCACAGAGAGCUUGCUCUCGGGUGACGAGCGGCGGACGGGUGAGUAAUGUCUGGGAAACUGCCUGAUGGAGGGGGAUAACUACUGGAAACGGUAGCUAAUACCGCAUAACGUCGCAAGACCAAAGUGGGGGACCUUCGGGCCUCAUGCCAUCAGAUGUGCCCAGAUGGGAUUAGCUAGUAGGUGGGGUAACGGCUCACCUAGGCGACGAUCCCUAGCUGGUCUGAGAGGAUGACCAGCCACACUGGAACUGAGACACGGUCCAGACUCCUACGGGAGGCAGCAGUGGGGAAUAUUGCACAAUGGGCGCAAGCCUGAUGCAGCCAUGCCGCGUGUGUGAAGAAGGCCUUCGGGUUGUAAAGCACUUUCAGCGGGGAGGAAGGCGGUGAGGUUAAUAACCUCACCGAUUGACGUUACCCGCAGAAGAAGCACCGGCUAACUCCGUGCCAGCAGCCGCGGUAAUACGGAGGGUGCAAGCGUUAAUCGGAAUUACUGGGCGUAAAGCGCACGCAGGCGGUCUGUCAAGUCGGAUGUGAAAUCCCCGGGCUCAACCUGGGAACUGCAUCCGAAACCGGCAGGCUAGAGUCUUGUAGAGGGGGGUAGAAUUCCAGGUGUAGCGGUGAGAUGCGUAGAGAUCUGGAGGAAUACCGGUGGCGAAGGCGGCCCCCUGGACAAAGACUGACGCUCAGGUGCGAAAGCGUGGGGAGCAAACAGGAUUAGAUACCCUGGUAGUCCACGCCGUAAACGAUGUCGAUUUGGAGGUUGUGCCCUUGAGGCGUGGCUUCCGGAGCUAACGCGUUAAAUCGACCGCCUGGGGAGUACGGCCGCAAGGUUAAAACUCAAAUGAAUUGACGGGGGCCCGCACAAGCGGUGGAGCAUGUGGUUUAAUUCGAUGCAACGCGAAGAACCUUACCUGGUCUUGACAUCCACAGAACUUUCCAGAGAUGGAUUGGUGCCUUCGGGAACUGUGAGACAGGUGCUGCAUGGCUGUCGUCGGCUCGUGUUGUGAAAUGUUGGGUUAAGUCCCGCAACGAGCGCAACCCUUAUCCUUUGUUGCCAGCGGUCCGGCCGGGAACUCAAAGGAGACUGCCAGUGAUAAACUGGAGGAAGGUGGGGAUGACGUCAAGUCAUCAUGGCCCUUACGACCAGGGCUACACACGUGCUACAAUGGCAUAUACAAAGAGAAGCGACCUCGCGAGAGCAAGCGGACCUCAUAAAGUAUGUCGUAGUCCGGAUUGGAGUCUGCAACUCGACUCCAUGAAGUCGGAAUCGCUAGUAAUCGUAGAUCAGAAUGCUACGGUGAAUACGUUCCCGGGCCUUGUACACACCGCCCGUCACACCAUGGGAGUGGGUUGCAAAAGAAGUAGGUAGCUUAACCUUCGGGAGGGCGCUUACCACUUUGUGAUUCAUGACUGGGGUGAAGUCGAACAAGGUAACC